AGCAGCGUGGCUCAGUGGAAAGAGCCUGGGCUUUGGAGUCAGAGGUCAUGGGUUUGAAUCCCAGCUCUGUCA
rfam:Ornithorhynchus anatinus chromosome 1, whole genome shotgun sequence.